rnacentral:rRNA from 1 species
CCUUCUUGUAGAACCGUAAUGCCAUUAAUUUGGUGUUGCGGGGAAACAGGACUGUUACUUUGAAAAAAUUAGAGUCGUUUAAAGCAGGCUAGCGCCUGAAUACAUUAGCAUGGAAUAAUGAAAUAGGACGUUCGAACCUAUUUUGUUGGUUUCUAGGAUUGACGUAAUGAUUAAUAGGGAUAGUUGGGGGCAUUAGUAUUCAAUUGUCAGAGGUGAAAUUCUUGGAUUUAUUGAAGACUGACUACUGCGAAAGCAUUUGCCAAGGAUGUUUUCAUUAAUCAAGAACGAAAGUUAGGGGAUCGAAGACGAUCAGAUACCGUCGUAGUCUUAACCAUAAACUAUGCCGACUAGGGAUCGGAUGAUGUUAAUUUUUUAAUGACUCAUUCGGCGCCUUACG